rnacentral:lncRNA from 1 species
UUAAGAAGCAGGAAUACAACGUUCUUUGCUUUUAGCUUUACACUUUUCCAUGUGAGUACCAAAGCAGGCUUUCUUAUACCCCUAUGCCCCUCCAACUACUGAGGCUUUGUUACCUGACCUCUUCAUUUCUUUGGGUUACUUGCCCCCGGGAGAUGCGCCAUCCCUUCAUCCUGACACAUUUCUGUGCAACCAUUCAGCUCAGACUAUGCCCUGAAGCACAGACUUAACGUCCCCUACCAAGAAUCACUUAUCAUGCCUUAUCUGGUAGAAGUAUAAUUUCCACGUCAAAGGAGAAGUUGAUAAUUCAACUAAUUUCAUCUGCUUUUAGUAAAAAUCAUCUGAUAUUUAAUAAAACGAACAAUUAAAAAUAAAAGGGACACAAAGAAGCUUU